CCAGCCACUACAGAAUACAAUCAGAAAAGCAACCCAAAAGAACACAGGAAUGCCUGCCUUUGGAGUUCUGCUAAGACGUAUCCAAUUAUUCAGCAAAAGUUUGUAAAUGACUUGUUUACCUGUGGGUUAGAAAAAGUGUUUUAAUAAUACUUAAUGAAGAAACUACGAUGGUGUUUCAGAUGUUAAUUUUCAGUUCAGCAUCAGAAGAAAAUGAUGCAUCUCUGAAAGAUUCUUAAUCUGCAAGGAUGAUAAAAAUGAAGAGAAAGAGAAGUCAUCACAGUUGUGCAGCUUUUCAGAAGAUUUCAGUACUUAGGGUAAAAUUAUCCUCUCAGAUCUGCAAGGCAAAAGCCACUGAUGUCACCAGAGCUACACCAGUACAGAGGGCAAACCUGAGCGCUACCAGGCAGAUUGAAGAGGAGAAUUUUUUCCAUUAGGAACUUUCACAUAGAAAGAAACUUGAAACUGAAAGAUUAAAAACACUUUAUUGACAUGUAAAUUACGAUUACUCAUGCCUGUGGUUAAUGUAUGCCUAUAUAUCAUCCUUUCUAUGUGUUUGGGUAUUCUAUCAGGGUAUUUGUGGGAGAAUUGAUUUGAUUAGUGAUGUGAUUAUGAUAUAAUUUGUUUUGUUUAUAGAGGUAAUUUUCUCUAUAGCACUAUGUUUUAAUGUUGC